AUGCUCACCUUCCUGACAUGAAUGCUGAUGACAAAAUGGGUGUAUAUUCCCAGGGCCAGGCUUAUUCAUUACACUCCGGAUGUGCUGACCCCUGCAAUUUCCCCAAAUGUGGGAAACUCGACUGCAUAAUUUCUGGCAGUGGGGGGCUGCAUUUGCGCUCUCCCCUG